rnacentral:lncRNA from 1 species
UGUAAUCCGCUACCGCUAGCUGUAGCUACUGUAGGUUGGAUUGCGAAGCUACCUCUUGCAGCCCCAAUCUGUACCUUUCUACAGUCUAGCGCUAGUAAAAGCGGUAUUUUAAGGUGCUCACGUCUGUCAAACCGACCUUUUUGCCUCCGGAGCAUUUGGCGCAGCAGCUCUUGUCUACCGACAGGUCCAGCGAUAAGAGCGAUAGCUUUGUUGGGCUCUUGCAGCCCCGUUUGGUUAGGCCUUAUGCCUGCCAACCGUAGGUUGGCAUUUGUUGGCCGCGCAAAAACAAGAAUCGAUUGGUCUGCAUGCACUCUUUAUGUUGCUACGUGAACAUAGCCAAACCGUUACCUUGCUGUUCCUCCGGCACAAUCUCAUCUCGGCCAUAAUAGAACUAGAAAUAUGACAUCUAUUACAUACGUAUUAGCAGAUCUAAUGAUACCAUUUCCAACUCGAAUUCUUGC